UACGGGGGGGGUAAGCGUUGUUCGGAAUUACUGGGCGUAAAGGGCUCGUAGGCGGCCAACUAAGUCAGACGUGAAAUCCCUCAGCUUAACUGGGGAACUGCGUCUGAUACUGGAUGGCUUGGAUUUGGGAGAGGGAUGCGGAAUUCCAGGUGUAGCGGUGAAAUGCGUAGAUAUCAAGAGGAACACCUGAGGUGAAGACGGGUUGCUGGGCUGACACUGACGCUGAGGCGCGAAAGCGUGGGGAGCGAUCCGG
rnacentral:rRNA from 1 species